rnacentral:rRNA from 1 species
AUUAAACGCUGGCGGCAUGCCUUACACAUGCAAGUCGAACGGCAGCACGGGGGCAACCCUGGUGGCGAGUGGCGGACGGGUGAGUAAAGCAUCGGAACGUAUCCUGGAGUGGGGGGAUAACGUAGCGAAAGUUACGCUAAUACCGCAUAUUCUGUGAGCAGGAAAGCAGGGGAUCGCAAGACCUUGCGCUCUGGGAGCGGCCGAUGUCGGAUUAGCUAGUUGGUGGGGUAAAGGCCUACCAAGGCGACGAUCCGUAGCGGGUCUGAGAGGAUGAUCCGCCACACUGGGACUGAGACACGGCCCAGACUCCUACGGGAGGCAGCAGUGGGGAAUUUUGGACAAUGGGCGCAAGCCUGAUCCAGCCAUGCCGCGUGAGUGAAGAAGGCCUCGGUUGUAAAGAC